rnacentral:rRNA from 1 species
UGGGGAAUUUUGGACAAUGGGCGAAAGCCUGAUCCAGCAAUGCCGCGUGUGUGAAGAAGGCCUUCGGGUUGUAAAGCACUUUUGUCCGGAAAGAGAUGGCUCUGGUUAAUACCUGGGGUCGAUGACGGUACCGGAAGAAUAAGGACCGGCUAACUACGUGCCAGCAGCCGCGGUAAUACGUAGGGUCCAAGCGUUAAUCGGAAUUACUGGGCGUAAAGCGUGCGCAGGCGGUUGUGCAAGACCGAUGUGAAAUCCCCGAGCUUAACUUGGGAAUUGCAUUGGUGACUGCACGGCUAGAGUGUGUCAGAGGGGGGUUAGAAUUCCACGUGUAGCAGUGAAAUGCGUAGAGAUGUGGAGGAAUACCGAUGGCGAAGGCAGCCCCCUGGGAUAACACUGACGCUCAUGCACGAAAGCGUGGGGAGCAAACAGGAUUAGAUACCCUGGUAGUCCACGCCCUAAACGAUGUCAACUAGUUGUUGGGGGAUUCAUUUUCCUUAGUAACGUAGCUAACGCGUGAAGUUGACCGCCUGGGGAGUACGGUCGCAAGAUUAAAAGCUCAAAGG